rnacentral:rRNA from 1 species
UAGGGAAUCUUCGGCAAUGGGGGGAACCCUGACCGAGCAACGCCGCGUGAGUGAAGAAGGUUUUCGGAUCGUAAAGCUCUGUUGUUAAGGAAGAACGAGUGUGAGAAUGGAAAGUUCAUGCUGUGACGGUACUUAACCAGAAAGGGACGGCUAACUACGUGCCAGCAGCCGCGGUAAUACGGAGGUCCCGAGCGUUGUCCGGAUUUAUUGGGCGUAAAGCGAGCGCAGGCGGUUAGAAAAGUCUGAAGUGAAAGGCAGUGGCUCAACCAUUGUAGGCUUUGGAAACUGUUUAACUUGAGUGGAGAAAGGGAGAGUGGAAUUCCAUGUGUAGCGGUGAAAUGCGUAGAUAUAUGGAGGAACACCGGUGGCGAAAGCGGCUCUCUGGUCUGUAACUGACGCUGAGGCUCGAAAGCGUGGGGAGCGAACAGG